rnacentral:tRNA from 1 species
CUCAGUUGGUAGAGCAGAGGACUGAAAAUCCUCG